UCUUAUUUUUCUACUCCUAUUAAAACUAACUUAAUUUCAGGGUGGACUUCCCCUUUAAAGAAAAACGAAACUCGCCAAGGAUGCCUUGAAAAGGGCGGCGCUACGAAUGGCAUAUUCAGAUCUAGCCAAAAGUUGCUUAGACUGUGACGGCCAUCUUCCCGAGCAUGGAGAAGAAAUUUCAGGGCCAGAUGACAACUCACUGGCCAGGAAACUGACGCUGCGUAGGGCAAACCCCCUCACAUAUUCCCUUGAAUUAUAAUAAUCAGAAAAAUCAACUUAAAGAAAAAACGAAACUCGCUAAUGAUGCCUCGGAAAGGGCGGCACAACGAAUGGUUUAAACAAUUGAGACCGGGUAAAAAGAUGUGUUACGCUGUGAGGGCCUUCCUCCCGAGCAUAAAGAAGAAAUGUCAGGGCCAGAUGAAAACUCACUGGCCAGAAAACUGACGCCGCGUAGGGGCAUUCCCCAUCAUAUAUUCGAUCGAAAUGUAAUAAUCAGAAUAAUCAA